GCAAGUCGAACGAGAACCCUGGUGCUUGCAUUAGGGGGACAGUGGCGAACGGGUGAGUAACACGUGGAUAAUCUACCUUCGGGAUGGGGACAACAUCGCGAAAGCGGUGCUAAUACCGAAUGAGGUGGUUUUAUCAUAAGAUAGAAUCAUGAAAGGGUGGGGACCUUCGGGCCUACUGCCUGGAGAGGAGUCCGCGGUUGAUUAGCUUGUUGGUGGGGUAAAGGCCUACCAAGGCGACGAUCAAUAGCCGGCCUGAGAGGGUGAAC
rnacentral:rRNA from 1 species